AGUGAACGCUGGCGGUAGGCCUAACACAUGCAAGUCGAACGGCAGCACAGUAAGAGCUUGCUCUUACGGGUGGCGAGUGGCGGACGGGUGAGGAAUACAUCGGAAUCUACUUUUUCGUGGGGGAUAACGUAGGGAAACUUACGCUAAUACCGCAUAUGACCUACGGGUGAAAGCAGGGGAUCUUCGGACCUUGCGCGAUUGAAUUAGCCGAUGUCGGAUUAGCUAGUUGGCGGGGUAAAGGCCCACCAAGGCGACGAUCCGUAGCUGGUCUGAGAGGAUGAUCAGCCACACUGGAACUGAGACACGGUCCAGACUCCUACGGGAGGCAGCAGUGGGGAAUAUUGGACAAUGGGCGCAAGCCUGAUCCAGCCAUACCGCGUGGGUGAAGAAGGCCUUCGGGUUGUAAAGCCCUUUUGUUGGGAAAGAAAAGCAGCAGGUUAAUACCCCGCUGUUCUGACGGUACCCAAAGAAUAAGCACCGGCUAACUUCGUG
rnacentral:rRNA from 1 species